CUAGAACCUGAACUUGUAAUGCGCAUGACUCGGACUCUUCCUCGGCUUGCACAUGAGCUUGUAUAAAUGUUUCCUUGCAAUGAGAGGUUGUUAGGUGCGCAGGUGUUCAAAACCAGUUAGUUUGUAGUUCCUGCUCCCUGGAAUGCAGGAAAUUUCUGAGCGCCUGGCUUUUAUCGGAUUAAUAGCAUCAAUUUUACGAAGAUUGCGGUCAUGACAGUGUUGCCCUAGAGCAGGGGUUUUCAAAGUUUACAUUCAAAGGUCCAAAUCUGAAUUCUCAUCAUUUACAUAGGUCCGGAAAAACUUUAUGUAAAUCAUUUGUUUAUAUAACAAAUCAACACUAAUAGUUUGGGAAAAACAUUAGUGUAUUUUGCAUUUAAACUAAAAAUAAUUUUCUAAACAUAAACACAAGAAAUAAUGCUUACUAUGCUUCUCAAUGUCUAAAUUAAUUACGGUGAAAUGACGCUACAUUCAUAAGCCAGGGGGCGCUCGCGGGCAGAAACUUAAUAUGCGCUGCAGACGAAGAACCAGACACACGCAGCUCCAGGAAAUGUCUUAAGGAUAUAUUUAUAUUGCUGUUCUUCAAACCUUGUCAGGUAUUUUCAUGAUAAUAAAAAAUAUGUAUAGUGAUUAUGUUUGACGAGUGUUGUUUUUUCAAAUGCAUGUUUUAAACGACUCAAACCAACAGUGAUUUCAGAUUGAUAUGGACUUACUGAUCAAAAGCCGUAGUACAUGAAGUAGCUGUGCAUAAUAUCUGGGUGUGAUGGCUACAGCGUCACACAGGAAAUUUUUAAAUAACUUGUUUUAUUUUCGGACCAGGAAUACUCUUAAAUCUAAAAAGAUAAAAAACGAAACGAAUGGUUUACAAGUUUAAUAUGCAUUUGUAAAGUAGCAAAUGCACACUUUAGCAAUCACAUAGAAAUUAAUGCACUUGUAAUAUGAAGUGGACGCGGGUCCGGAUCAAGUUCCCGUCGGGUCCGGAUCCGGACCGCAGUCCGGACUUUGAGAACCCCUGCCCUAGAGUAAAUCAGCUUUUUUGUCCACCAAUCAAAUGAGUAAGAAAUGAACAAAUAAAUAAAUGAGUCAACUUUUGCUUCGCCCCUUGAUACCAUUGUGCAUCUGUGAUCCCACAAUGGGUCAAAUUGCCCAGCACUAGUGUUUGACGAUUAUUGUUGUAGUGUUAAGGGUCAUUUGUGUCUGGUUGGUAAGCUUAAGCCUAAAUAAAUAAAGGUUACAUGAUUAAUAAUUACAAGUUUCUGUUAUUGGACCACAGCUUGAUACAGUAUCAUUAAGUCUUAUUUUUAAUAUAAACGGGUUGCACGGCGACGUCACUAACUGGUUGCGCGCGCAACCGAGAGGCAGAUUGAAGAGAAGUGCAUUGUGUUGUAUGCUAGUAGCGGUGUCUGUAAUUCAAAAUGCCAAGGAAUUGUUGCGUGGAAAAUAGUACCAACAGAGUCAGUGCUGGGUGCCUGAUGUUAACAUACCAGUAGAUGCGACUAUUACGUUACUAGCAUUAUAAUUAUAACAUUAUAAUUCAUACAUGUAUCACAGUAACACUGCAAAAAUAAAGACAGAAAAACAGAUCCAACUAAAAUCAAGUCUUAUUUAUAUACAAACAAUAAAGAACGCUUCAAUAGUUAAGGUUGUUGCAGUAGCGGAUCAGCUCACCAAUCGGGCUUUCUGCCUCCUGGAUGCGCGCGCACCCUGCAAUGUUUGUAAACUUGCAACCCCUCUAGGUUAGGUUAUUAAACAGCAUAGCAGUGUAUUAAGAAGACACAUGGCAGAGAGACCGAAUGAUAAUAUGAUAGAAAUAAUCGAAGGCAGAUUUGAGAAAAUUGAAAAAGGUAGUGAAGGCCAAGGGGUGGUGAAGACCCUGCAUGUGUCUGUGUGUAUGCAUUGAGAUUCCUGUCCUGUAUCUGUUAACAGUGGGGUGUGAGCUGAGCACUGCUGCAUAAUUGUGAAACCACAGGGACUGCAGCUCUGACCAACCUGUCAAAACAUCAUGACAAUCAUCCCUUACCACAUCGCAGACAGACAGAGAGAGAGACAGGCAGAGAGUGUCAGCGUUUUGACUGAUAUACCAGCUGAGAAGUUAUAAUUACGAUCACUGUGUGACAUUUGUAAUUUAAGCGAGCACACACACACACACACACACACACAUUGUACAUGGACUGUGGUUCGAAAGCUCGACUGCGGUGGUCUGUAAGGAAGUUUUUUAGCUGCUACGCUGGGUAGCGAUUCCACACCGCUGCGUUUUGAGGCUAAUUAGUUUCGAUAUUAACGGGACAAAACCCCAAGCAGCUUCUAAAUGUCACCCCGUCUCCCCACAGACAUCCACACACACGCCAGUUCACGCUCUUUGCCCCCACCAGAAAAACGCCGCGGGGAGAAACCAAGAAAAAGCCAAGAAGCGGCGACGUCGGGUCACAGCGACGUGCGGAAUAGCAAACCCGUAGACUCGACAUACUGGGAGGACUGGUGUGAACUAAAAGAUCUUUCAAAAGUCUGACGCUGGGGCUUUAAAGAAUGGCACCACGGCUGAAUGUUGAUGUUCUUGGACUUGAACAUGAUACCAUAGAGAUAAAGCUGAGAAAGAGGCGUAAAUGCAGAAAUCCAUGAAACACGGUUUGCAUGUGAAUGCUGUGCUAUAUCGAACAUUAAAAAGAGACUGAGUUUC